AAAGAUUUAGUUUAUUAAAACAUUAACUUGUCAAGUUAAAAAUAUAAUAGUGUUAUAAUCUUUG
rnacentral:tRNA from 1 species